rnacentral:rRNA from 1 species
AGCGAACGCUGGCGGCAGGCCUAACACAUGCAAGUCGAACGGUAACAGGUUAAGCUGACGAGUGGCGAACGGGUGAGUAAUGUAUCGGAACGUGCCCAGUCGUGGGGGAUAACUACUCGAAAGAGUGGCUAAUACCGCAUACGACCUGAGGGUGAAAGCGGGGGACCGUAAGGCCUCGCGCGAUUGGAGCGGCCGAUAUCAGAUUAGCUAGUUGGUGGGGUAAAAGCCCACCAAGGCGACGAUCUGUAGCUGGUCUGAGAGGACGACCAGCCACACUGGGACUGAGACACGGCCCAGACUCCUACGGGAGGCAGCAGUGGGGAAUUUUGGACAAUGGACGCAAGUCUGAUCCAGCCAUGCCGCGUGCGGGAAGAAGGCCUUCGGGUUGUAAACCGCUUUUGUCAGGGAAGAAACGAGUUUCUCUAAUACAGAGACUUAAUGACGGUACCUGAAGAAUAAGCACCGGCUAACUACGUGCCAGCCGCCGCUGUAACAC